AUCAACAUCGAUUUACGGUCAUUUGCCGAGCUUGACGGAGUUACCCGAGGUUACCCGAUGGCAGCUCUCCGUGUGCAGUUUCUCUAGUUGUUACGGCGAAGGUGGUUGAAAACUUGCGUCUGAUUGGUCAAUUUUCAGCUAUAGUAGUUGGAAAAGAAUGACUGUGAUUGGCUGGAUGGGGACAGGAGGACAAUAUGGCGGCGGUGAAGAGCUGUGACUGUGUGAGUUGUCUGCUGCUUUAUGGACGCUUUUCGGAGUUAAAAUGAAAGUGGUGUGGUGGCUCACUGGCAAGGUGACCUUUGUGGAUGACGGAGGCCUCGGCUUCGACUGAAGACGUGUUGAACUGGACGAGUCAGAGGCAGUAUUUUAAAUGGU